GAGAAUUCCGGCCGAUUUUUACCUGAAUCUUGAUCGCUAGAUUUCUCCAAUACUGUCGAUAGGAAAAAAACGACCAAAAUCGGUGCUAGCAAACUGGAGUUGCUGCAGCUAAUGGCCAGAGCUCCCAGUUAGCUAAAAUGCCAGUUGUGGGGGCAUGUUCUAAAGAGUGCCUUUGUGCCUCUUAACAGACACAAAAUGCAAUUAAAAUUUCUGUGCAACAUGAACAGGGCCCUUACGUGACAACAAGAUGCGUUUUCAACUCAGACAUUGUGAAGAAACCGUUUAAAUUCAAAGUUUGUACUGUCACCUACCUCUUUUACCAUCGCAUUCUUCUUCA